GAAACUUAGGAUAAAGCAAUUAGCGCUGGAUCUAAAACAUGAGUCGAUGAUGAUCGAGUUGCACUUUUUGUUGCCAACGAACGGAAAACAAAUAAAUAAUUGAAGAAAUUUUUCUCCUCAAAAUAUUUGAUUAUUUCUGCUGCCUCUGCACUCCUUGCUGUCGUUCGAUUCCGUUCACGUGGCUUCGACGUGCUGCCUCGAGGAUCGGCAACUCGUUGGUAGCGAGCCGCGUGGCUUGUUUCGAUAUUCCACCUGUUGCUAUGGGCCUUGGUUGCCUCUAGAUGACCUCGCAU